AUGAGAGUUUGAUCCUGGCUCAGGACGAACGCUGGCGGCGUGCCUAAUACAUGCAAGUAGGACGCACAGUUUAUACCGUAGCUUGCUACACCAUAGACUGUGAGUUGCGAACGGGUGAGUAACGCGUAGGUAACCUGCCUAUUAGAGGGGGAUAACUAUUGGAAACGAUAGCUAAUACCGCAUAACAGUAUGUAACACAUGUUAGAUGCUUGAAAGAUGCAAUUGCAUCGCUAGUAGAUGGACCUGCGUUGUAUUAGCUAGUAGGUAGGGUAAAGGCCUACCUAGGCAACGAUACAUAGCCGACCUGAGAGGGUGAUCGGCCACACUGGGACUGAGACACGGCCCAGACUCCUACGGGAGGCAGCAGUAGGGAAUCUUCGGCAAUGGGGGGAACCCUGACCGAGCAACGCCGCGUGAGUGAAGAAGGUUUUCGGAUCGUAAAGCUCUGUUGUUAAGGAAGAACGAGUGUGAGAAUGGAAAGUUCAUACUGUGACGGUACUUAACCAGAAAGGGACGGCUAACUACGUGCCAGCAGCCGCGGUAAUACGUAGGUCCCGAGCGUUGUCCGGAUUUAUUGGGCGUAAAGCGAGCGCAGGCGGUUAGAAAAGUCUGAAGUGAAAGGCAGUGGCUCAACCAUUGUAGGCUUUGGAAACUGUUUAACUUGAGUGCAGAAGGGGAGAGUGGAAUUCCAUGUGUAGCGGUGAAAUGCGUAGAUAUAUGGAGGAACACCGGUGGCGAAAGCGGCUCUCUGGUCUGUAACUGACGCUGAGGCUCGAAAGCGUGGGGAGCGAACAGGAUUAGAUACCCUGGUAGUCCACGCCGUAAACGAUGAGUGCUAGGUGUUAGGUCCUUUCCGGGACUUAGUGCCGUAGCUAACGCAUUAAGCACUCCGCCUGGGGAGUACGACCGCAAGGUUGAAACUCAAAGGAAUUGACGGGGGCCCGCACAAGCGGUGGAGCAUGUGGUUUAAUUCGAAGCAACGCGAAGAACCUUACCAGGUCUUGACAUCCCGAUGCUAUUUCUAGAGAUAGGAAGUUUCUUCGGAACAUCGGUGACAGGUGGUGCAUGGUUGUCGUCAGCUCGUGUCGUGAGAUGUUGGGUUAAGUCCCGCAACGAGCGCAACCCUUAUUGUUAGUUGCCAUCAUUGAGUUGGGCACUCUAGCGAGACUGCCGGUAAUAAACCGGAGGAAGGUGGGGAUGACGUCAAAUCAUCAUGCCCCU
rnacentral:rRNA from 1 species